AUAAGCAUAUCAAUAAGCGGAGGAAAAGAAACUAACAAGGAUUCCCCUAGUAACGGCGAGUGAAGAGGGAAGAGCUCAAAUUUGAAAUCUGGCGGUCUCAGGCCGUCCGAGUUGUAAUCUAGAGAGGUGUUUUCCGUGCCGGACCGUGUACAAGUCCCUUGGAACAGGGCGUCAUAGAGGGUGAGAAUCCCGUCCAUGACACGGACUCCCGGUGCUCUGUGAUACACCUUCAAAGAGUCGAGUUGUUUGGGAAUGCAGCUCAAAAUGGGUGGUAAAUUCCAUCUAAAGCUAAAUACAGGCGAGAGACCGAUAGCGAACAAGUACCGUGAGGGAAAGAUGAAAAGAACUUUGGAAAGAGAGUUAAACAGUACGUGAAAUUGUUGAAAGGGAAACGCUUGAAGUCAGUCGCGUCUGCCGGGACUCAGCCUUGCUUUUGCUUGGUGCACUUCUCGGUGGAUGGGCCAGCAUCGAUUUUGAUCGCCGGAAAAGGGUGGGAGGAAUGUGGCAGCUUGCUGUGUUAUAGCCUCCUAUCGUACACGGUGGUUGGGAUCGAGGAUUGCAGCACGCCUUUGGUCGGGGUUCGCCCACGCCACGUGCUUAGGAUGCUGGCGUAAUGGCUUUAAACGACCCGUCUUGAAACACGGACCAAGGAGUCUAACAUGCCUGCGAGUGUUUGGGUGUUAAACCCAGGCGCGUAAUGAAAGUGAUAAGUUGGGACUCUUCGCUGAGGCACCGACGCCCGAUCCUGAAGUUUACGGACGGAUUUGAGGUAGAGCAUGUAUGUUGGGACCCGAAAGAUGGUGAACUAUGCCUGAAUAGGGUGAAGCCAGAGGAAACUCUGGUGGAGGCUCGUAGCGAUUCUGACGUGCAAAUCGAUCGUCAAAUUUGGGUAUAGGGGCGAAAGACUAAUCGAACCAUCUAGUAGCUGGUUCCUGCCGAGUCUCCUCUCAGCGGAGUAAA
rnacentral:rRNA from 1 species